AUCCUGGCUCAGAAUCAACGCUGGCGGCGUGCCUAACACAUGCAAGUCGAACGCGAAAGUGGAGCAAUCCAUGAGUAGAGUGGCAAACGGGUGAGUAACACGUGGGUGACCUGCCUUAGAGUGGGGGAUAACGUCCCGAAAGGGACGCUAAUACCGCAUAACAUGCUGCCUUUUAAGAGGCGGACAUCAAAGCCGGGGACCGCAAGGCCUGGCGCUUAAAGAGGGGCCCGCGCCUGAUUAGCUAGUUGGUGGGGUAAUGGCUCACCAAGGCAACGAUCAGUAUCCGGCCUGAGAGGGCGGACGGACACACUGGGACUGAGACACGGCCCAGACUCCUACGGGAGGCAGCAGUGGGGAAUUGUUCGCAAUGGGCGCAAGCCUGACGACGCAACGCCGCGUGGAGGAUGAAGAUCUUCGGGUUGUAAACUCCUUUCGAUCGAGACGAAUGGCCCUUGGGCUAACAUCCCGAGGGAGUGACGGUACCGAGAGAAGAAGCCCCGGCUAACUCCGUG
rnacentral:rRNA from 1 species